GGAAGGAUCAUUUAUGAGCGAGGGAUUAGUUUUAGGACUAAUGCCCAAGCGUAUAUAUCCAUAAACACUGUGAAUUGUUAAUUGGGCUUUAUACGCCCUUUACAAAACAAUGUGUAAUGAACGUUUAUUAUUAAUAAAUAAAAUAAAACUUUCAACAACGGAUCUCUUGGCUCUCGCAUCGAUGAAGAACGCAGCGAAAUGCGAUAAGUAAUGUGAAUUGCAGAAUUCAGUGAAUCAUCGAAUCUUUGAACGCACCUUGCACCUUUUGGUACUCCGAAAGGUAUGCCUGUUUGAGUGUCUGUAAAGUAUAAGGGUUAAUAGCCCGAUUUGAGCACUGCAUUAGAUUGCUUGCUUUAAAUGUGUUAGUCAGGAUUUAUCGAAAGUAACGAAGCGUAAUAAGUUUCGCUUAGUGAAGAGAUGAAUAUUGGCUUCUAAUUGCUAUUAGAGUUGAAAUAAUUCUAAGCACUAUUUAGACUCGACCUCAAAUCAGGUAGGACUACCCGCUGAACUUAAGCAUAUCAAUAAGCGGAGGAAAAGAAACUAACAAGGAUUCCCCUAGUAACGGCGAGUGAAGCGGGAAAAGCUCAAAUUUGAAAUCUGGCAUCCUUCGGGUGUCCGAGUUGUAAUCUAGAGAAGUGUUUUCUGUGCUGGACUGUAUUCAAGUUCCUUGGAAUAGGAUAUCAAAGAGGGUGAGAAUCCCGUGCUUAAUACAAUCCCCAGUGCUCUGUGAUACACUUUCAAAGAGUCGAGUUGUUUGGGAAUGCAGCUCUAAAUGGGUGGUAAAUUCCAUCUAAAGCUAAAUAUUGGCGAGAGACCGAUAGCGAACAAGUACCGUGAGGGAAAGAUGAAAAGCACUUUGGAAAGAGAGUUAAACAGUACGUGAAAUUGUUGAAAGGGAAACGAUUGAAGUCAGUCGUAUUGGAAAAGUUCAAUUAGCUUCUGCUAAUGCAUUCUUUUCUAAUGGGUCAACAUCAGUUUGAACAGGUGGAUAAGGGUGGUAGGAAAGUAGCUCUGAGUGUUAUAGCCUACUACCGUAUACACUUGUUUAGACUGAGGAACGCAGCUUGCCUCCUUAUGGGGGAUGGGGUUCGUCCCACAUUCAAGCUUAGGAUGUUGACAUAAUGGCUUUAAACGACCCGUCUUGAAACACGGACCAAGGAGUCUAACAUAUCUGCGAGUGUUUGGGUGUCAAACCCAAGCGCGUAAUGAAAGUGAAUGUAGGAGGGAUCCGUAAGGAGCACCUUUGACCGAUCCUGACUCAUUAUGUAAUGGAUUUGAGUAAGAGCAUAUAUGCUAGGACCCGAAAGAUGGUGAACUAUGCCUGAAUAGGGUGAAGCCAGGGGAAACUCUGGUGGAGGCUCGUAGCGAUUCUGACGUGCAAAUCGAUCGUCAAAUUUGGGUAUAGGGGCGAAAGACUAAUCGAACCAUCUAAUGGCUGGUUCCUGC
rnacentral:misc_RNA from 1 species